rnacentral:lncRNA from 1 species
AAAGGAAGUUCCUUGUUCCUGUGGCUGCCAUUGAGCAGACAUCUGAUCCUCGCUGCAGGUAUGACUGGGAUGGUUUCCCUACCUUGGAGGAGAACAACCAGGGAAAGGCAGCACCAGAGCCCUCCUUUCACCUCAUCUCUCAUCCCAGGUACAAUGCUGACUGGGAGUCAAGUGCUAAAAUAUUACAACUGUAUGAGAGGCCAGUGUGUAACUGGGUGAGUAAUGCACUGUCACGUAUUACUGGGGAUCAGCUGUACACACUAAGGACGACAGAGCGGAGAGAAGAAAGCACACUCACAGCACAGUUCGGUGUCAAGGGAUCUACAGAGGUCAUCUGGUUCAGGUCCUUGCUCAAAGCAAGGGCAGCUCACAGUCAGAGCACCUUGCUCAGGGCUGCGUCCCAUCAAGUUUUGGAACAGAGAUUUUAAAACCUCUAAGGGCAGCCUGUUCCAGUGCUUGACCAUUGUGUUGAUGGAAAAGUUGUUUCCUUGUAUCUUGCCAUGAUUUCCUUUGAGACAGCUUGUGAGCAUUCUCAUACCAUUGCUGUUCCUCUCUGAGAAGAGUCCAGCUUUGAGGGAGCAUCCAGAUUCCUGUUGUGCCAGGGAAUAUAAGAGAAUCCCAGCUGAACAGUCCCCCUCUACCUACACUGUGUUGUGGCUGGGGAAAUGCUGUCUCCUGAAGGGGUUUUGUUAGUGCAUGGAAAGAACACUGCAGAAAUGAAGGUAGGUGCAAAUCCCAGA